rnacentral:rRNA from 1 species
ACACAUGCAAGUCGAACGAGAAAUUUUGCUUCGGCGAAAGAGUAAAGUGGCGCACGGGUGAGUAACGCGUGAGUAAUUUGCCCUCGAGACCGGGAUAACCUUGCGAAAGUGGGGCUAAUACCGGAUAAGACCACGACUCGCUCGCGGGAAGUGGUAAAAGGUGGCCUCUACAUGUAAGCUGUCACUCGAGGAUAAGCUCGCGUACCAUUAGCUUGUUGGUAGGGUAAUGGCCUACCAAGGCGACGAUCGUUAGCCGGCCUGAGAGGGUGAUCGGCCACACUGGAACUGAGACACGGUCCAGACUCCUACGGGAGGCAGCAGUGGGGAAUUUUGCGCAAUGGGCGAAAGCCUGACGCAGCAACGCCGCGUGGAGGAUGAAGGUCCUUGGAUUGUAAACUCCUGUCAGUGGGGACGAACGGUCGCGGGUUAAUACCCCGUGACUCUGACGGUACCCGCAGAGGAAGCCCCGGCUAACUCUGUGCCAGCAGCCGCGGUAAUACAGAGGGGGCUAGCGUUAUUCGGAAUUAUUGGGCGUAAAGGGCGCGCAGGCGGCCUGGCAAGUGGAAGGUGAAUCCCUCGGCUCAACCGAGGAACUGCCCUCCAAACUGCCUGGCUUGAGUCCGGGAGAGGCGAAUGGAAUUCCCAGUGUAGCGGUGAAAUGCGUAGAUAUUGGGAGGAACACCAGUGGCGAAGGCGAUUCGCUGGACCGGUUCUGACGCUGAGGCGCGAAAGCGUGGGGAGCAAACGGGAUUAGAUACCCCGGUAGUCCACGC